rfam:Frankia sp. BMG5.36 contig_74, whole genome shotgun sequence.
GCAGACCCCUCGUGUGGCGUCAUCCUCGUGAACCUCCCCAGGGCCGGAAGGCAGCAAGGAUAAGCGGGCUCUGGCGGGUGCGCGAGGGGUCCUCCUG